rnacentral:tRNA from 1 species
GUGCCUGAGUAAAAGGGCUAACUUGAUAGGUUAGAUAAUGAAAAAUUUUAA